rnacentral:rRNA from 1 species
ACGAACGCUGGCGGCAUGCCUAACACAUGCAAGUCGAACGAGACCUUCGGGUCUAGCGGCGCACGGGUGCGUAACGCGUGGGAACCUGCCCUUAGGUUCGGAAUAACUCCCCGAAAGGGGUGCUAAUACCGGAUAAUGUCUUCGGACCAAAGAUUUAUCGCCUUUGGAUGGGCCCGCGUUGGAUUAGCUAGUUGGUAGGGUAAAAGCCUACCAAGGCGACGAUCCAUAGCUGGUCUGAGAGGAUGAUCAGCCACACUGGGACUGAGACACGGCCCAGACUCCUACGGGAGGCAGCAGUGGGGAAUAUUGGACAAUGGGCGAAAGCCUGAUCCAGCAAUGCCGCGUGAGUGAUGAAGGCCUUAGGGUUGUAAAGCUCUUUUACCCGGGAUGAUAAUGACAGUACCGGGAGAAUAAGCUCCGGCUAACUCCGUG